rnacentral:rRNA from 1 species
UACAGAGGGGGCAAGCGUUGUUCGGAAUUACUGGGCGUAAAGGGCGCGUAGGCGGCCUGCUAAGUCGAACGUGAAAUCCCUGGGCUCAACCCAGGAACUGCGUCCGAUACUGGUUGGCUUGAAUCCGGGAGAGGGAUGUGGAAUUCCAGGUGUAGCGGUGAAAUGCGUAGAUAUCUGGAGGAACACCGGUGGCGAAGGCGGGAUCCUGGGCCAGUACUGACGCUGAGGAGCGAAAGCGUGGGGAGCAAACAGG